GGAGUUGUGUCUCAGUGGUAGGGUGCUCGCCUAGCAGGUGUGAGACACUGGGUUCAAUCCUCAACACCA
rnacentral:tRNA from 1 species